rnacentral:rRNA from 1 species
AUUGAACGCUGGCGGCAUGCCUUACACAUGCAAGUCGAACGGCAGCACGAGAGCAAUCCUGGUGUCGAGUGGCGAACGGGUGAGUAAUAUAACGGCACGUGCCCCGCAGUUGGGGAUAGCCCGGCGAAAGCCCGAUCAAUACCGCGUGAGACCUGCGGCUGACAGAGGGGGAACGCAAGACCUCGCACUAGUGCUACGGCCGAGAUCAGUUUAGCUAGAUGGUGGGGUAAAGGCCUACCAAGGCAACGAUCUGUAGUUGGUCUGAGAGGACGACCAGCCACACUGGGACUGAGACACGGCCCAGACUCCUACGGGAGGCAGCAGUGGGGAAUUUUGGACAAUGGGCGCAAGCCUGAUCCAGCAAUGCCGCGUGCAGGAAGAAGGCCUUCGGGUUGUAAACUGCUUUUGUCAGGGAAGAAAUCCCUUGGGAUAAUACCUCGGGGGGAUGACGGUACCUGAAGAAUAAGCACCGGCUAACUACGUGCCAGCCGCCGCCGUAAUAC